rnacentral:rRNA from 1 species
UGAGCCUGGUUGAUAAGACCCGAAAGGUAAGAUUAAUAUUAUCUGACUAUUUGCAGUUCGUGUUUGCUAACGAUUUUUCAGAUGGUGAACUAUGCGUGAAUAGGGUGAAGCCAGAGGAAACUCUGGUGGAGGCUCGCAGCGGUUCUGACGUGCAAAUCGAUCGUCAAAUUUGCGCAUAGGGGCGAAAGAGGAAUAGAACCGUCUAGUAGCUGGUUCCCGUCGAAGUUUCCCUCAGGAUAGCAGCAGCGAAAUUAGUCUCAUGAGGUAGAGCAAACGAUUAGAGGUCUUGGGGUUGAAAUCGACCUUAACCUAUUCUCGAACUUUGAAUAUGUGAGAAGUCCUUGUUACUUAGUGAA